CUCCCAAAGUGCUGGGAUUACAGGCGUGAGCCACCGCGCCCGGCCAGAUUAAGCUAUUUUCAAAGUUUGGAAUGUUGUUCCUGCUUCCCAGUAGGACAGAAGCUUGGGAGCAAAAUUAGGAUCUUCUUUUCAUCUUUGGUGUUCUGCAAUUUGGAUACAAUGUCUUGUCGACUCCUGCCUCACAGCUGGGGAAGAAUGUUCUGGAUAUCAACACUUCCAGUGGGGGUCUUCUGGAGAGCCCACCAGAGGUCAUUUCUCAGCCUUCCCAGUGAUGGAGUGAGCAUGCCGUUCCCACUGCUCCAUACCUUUCUCCUGAAUCACUGCAGUGGUGUCUGUUUUGUGCAACAAACCCUUACUGGACGGGGGCCCUCACCCCCUGCCAUGAUCCUGUGAGCAGCAUUUUGUUUUUCCUCUAAGUCCCAGAGGCCCUGACCCUGAUGAAUGUCUGGAGGGGUGGGGCUCACACUUCCCCUCAGGGUUUCUCCACCCCUAGGGUUUCCCAUUCUUGCUCCCACCCACUGAGGGAGCACUAUGCGGGAGUCAGGGAGCUCCUCUUUCGCCCCUUUUGGAGCCUGGUCAUGCUGCUUGAUCACGGUCAUUUCCUUAGAGAUCUGAACCAGGGCGGGCAUGAUGCGGAUGGGGAAGCAUUACUGUCACAACCCCAUCCCCAGUCUGACAGCUCCUCCUAACCAGCAGGGCUCCUCACUGGCCUUUUUCACAAGCAUGGGUCUUUUCCAGCAGUCUUUAGCUCUGGUUACCGGCAGAAGCCCAUCUCUGUCUGCAGUCUUGGACACUGCACCUGGGACAGGUGUCUGUUACCCAGAGCUGCUGUAGCCACCAACAGGUGAGAGAUUGGCAUGUUCCGUAGCUUAACCAUCCAGUAGUUGAGAUUGUCCCCUCUGCCUCCACCCAUGGAGGUCGAUGAUGGCUGGGGGUGCCUGCUUGGACACCAAUAAAAAGGGCAGGCAGCACGGCCCCUGCCUCCUGGCAGCGUAAUCCUGGAUUAGGAAGCUGCUGCAUGGCUGCAGAGCCACUUCAUUCCUGGGGCGAGUUCCCAGCACGCCCGAUAAAGCCCCAUUAAAUCUCCCAGGUGGGGGCCCUUGAGGGUUGAUAGGCAGUCAUUCUUGGCUUUUGAAUUCCUGCCAGUUGAAAUACUUCCCAUAGCAACUGACUCUCAAAAUGCCUUCCAUGGUGAGGAUGGGUUGGAGUUUGGAGAAGAAAUUUCCCCACUGCUCUGUGCCCUGGAGGCUUGCAGAUCCGCAGCAAGGGGCACCAUGAGAGUGGAUGGCCAGUGAUCCUGGGGCUGGGUUUCUGGGUUCUGACCACUGAGCUCUAGAAACUAAAUAGCCACCAGGCCUAGGAAUUCUAAGCUUUGCUGGUCUGAAUUCUCCAUCCACCACACCUACUCCAAUGCCUUUUUCUCAGCGACUCCCUCCCUGUUUGAAUGGCCGUUUCCAACAGUGGCCCCUGUCCCUCAGUCCUGCCAUCUUUUCCCCAAAACACGCAUUGCCAUAGUUUUAUCUAUCUGAUUUAUUGGCCUGUGAGAACAAGGGUUUUGUCUGUCUCAGCUCCUGCUGUGUCUUUAGCCCUUGGGACAGUGCUCAGCACACAGUAGGUCCUCAGUAAAUACCCAGUGAAUGGAAAAAUGAACGACAACUGAAUGCUGGUCUUUGCACACACAUGGCUGCGCUUCUGUGCACACACCCUGCCUAUCUCCAGCCAGACAAGUGUGCAAAGUUGUCCCCCACUCCCCUGGUGCCACGGACACCUCUCCAAGGUGGCACGAGCUGUCUCCACAGCCAUUCCCAGGGCUUUGCAAGACCCGAAAAUUGGGUACAAUGGACAAUUUUUCACCUCCCAGGGUAGAACUUCUGUGCUUUAAAGAAUCAGAGGCCUCCCCACCCCUCUGUGGGGCCAUGACUGUGGUCACCAACCCUGCUGUGCCCACAGAGCUUUGAGUGCAGGCUUCACAGGACCUCCCCACGCAGAAGCCACCGUGGGCUUCAGGUUAGGAGGUGACAAGGCUGUCAGGGCCGUGAUUGCAAAGCUGUCUCCAUCACAUCCCCUGCUGCUCCUUGCAGGAAGACACAGAGUCCAUUUCCCAUCCCAUGAAAUCGGGCUGCUUCCAUGACCCACUUUGGCCCAUAAAGUGUGGCAGAAGUUCUGGUAGUCAGCCCCAAGGCGGUGCCACUCUGUCUGGAAUCAGGAGAACAGGCCGGGAGCCGCUGGGGCUGAGUCUGGAAUGUCCUCAGUGUUCCACUUCCCUGUCCGCUCAGAGUGCAUCCAAAGGCCAAGGACCUGGAGACCUUCCCACACUUGCGGCUGCCGCUAGGACCGGCCUUGGAGUGCACAGUACUGCCUUGGCUUGGCUGCCCAGGAUCUGAACUCCCUCUCGACCCCGGGCGGCUCUGCCUGCCGAGGCUCAAUCUUCCCUUGCAAGGUUGGGCAGGUCCAGGCUCCCUUCCCAGCCUCCUUUGCAGCAGCACACCACAGCGUGGAGGAUCUGGUCAGGGUCAGCCCCACCAGUGGCAGCCUGCUCGAGGUGAGCGGUGGCUAUGCAAAGGCGCACCCACAGCUCCAUGGCAGCACCAGGGGACUCCGCACCAGCCUGGGCUGGGGUGUGGUUUUUGGCUGUGGUCCUGGCUGUGGCUUUUCCUGCUUUGUCCCCAUUUCCUCCAGGCCUCCUGAAGAGCCUCUGAGCUAGCCCUAUCAGUGCAUAGAGUCUCCAAGGUUUGCAACUAAGACCCCUGAUGGUGUCAAGGUCCCUGCGUGGGCCAGGCCCUGGAGUCAGAUUGACCAGGUGCUUGGCCAGACAGCACUUCUCUCUGGGUCACCCAGGACACCCAUUCUCUGCAGUUGGAUAAGACAGGGUCAGGAAAUAGGAGAGGACCUGUGUACACUCCCAGAUGGCAAAUAAUGUGCCCACAUGUGUCCCCGUGGGGCAGCAUAAUGGCCCCUGUCUGCAGACUCUCCCCUCCCACUCAAGAGUCUUGAACCCAGGACUUGGUUUCUCUGAACCUAAGCACAUUAUCCCCAAACUCUGCCACUUCAGUCCUGCUGGCACCCCAGGCACUCUCCCCACACCUGCCUGGGGCUCCCCAGAGCUCCUGAAACAUCCCAGCAAACAAAAAUGUCCUCCUGGGCAAAGAUGCUGGCUUUUCCUCCUCCACUUGCCCACCCCCAAUACAUAGUCCUUGCAUCUCCUGCAGGCAGCCCAGUGGGUGCCAAGCCCCUGGUGGACCACAGCACAUGGGAUUUGUGCCGUCACUAGUGCAUGUCCUGAUUCCUCAGAUUUCUCAGGCUCUGUUGUGCUGGGGUGCACGCUGGGAGGCUUAUGUGUAUUACACUGCUCCUCGUGUCUCCCUUUUGUACACUUACGUACCAGUGAUGGGUCGGUCCUUCCAAGACACCGUCUAAGAGCCCAGGGGCCCUGCCACUCACCAGGGCCCACUCCAUUGUCAUAAGCCUGAGUCCCAGGUGGGUCUUCAUUUGGGACUUCUCCCACUCCUUCAGUGUUGGGCCUUCAUGAGUGCUAAGUUAUCUACACACAGUUCCCUGGCACCAUCCUUGGUGUGCAUGCCCAGGAGGCCCAGCAGAGAUGUUCUCAUGGCCCGUGUAGUGACUUUGCCGUGCAACUUUGGCCAAAAACUGUUCCCUAGCCACAGAGCAACUGUGUCAGCCAGAGUUCCCAGCUGCAGGCAAACAGAAACGAGCUCUGAUUUGAAGGGAAUGAAAUCUAUUGAAAGGUUAUAGGGGACCUCACAGAGCCUCCAGGAGUCCAUGCAGCCAAAGUUGUGCUGCAAGGCUGGGCUGAGGCACAUGUGGCUGCUGCCUUGUGCAUUUGCCAGUGUCGCAUGCUUUUGGCCUUCCUGCAGUCCCCGCUGCAACUACAGCAGCCUCUGAUGCCCUCACAGUGGCCCUUGCUUGUGUCACCAGCUUCCUGGUCAAAUUUGGGGCUGAGGGUCUGAUGGUGGAGCCUAGGUCCUGCUCUCCAGCCCCGGGCACCACUGGGAGCUUGUUAAUGCCCAAAUCUGAGGCCUCAAUGAGGCUUAGGGAGAACCUGCAUUUUAACUAGAUUCCCAUUGUACUAAUUAUCUUUUCCUGCAUAACAAUUAUUGCAAAACUCAGUGGCUUAAGACAACAAACGCUGAUGAUCUCACACUGCUCCUGAGGGCCAGCAAGUGGCUGGGCUGAUGGCUCUGCUUCACUGUCUCAUUAGGCUGCAGCCACCUGCAGGUUUGACUGGGGCUGGUGGGUCUGCUCCCAACGUGACUUGCUCACUGCUGGUGUUGGCAGAAGGCUGUGGCUCCUCAUUGUGGGGACUCUCCAUGGGACUGCUUGAGUGUCCUUGCAAUAUGGCGGCUGGCUUCCCUGGAGCGAGUGACCCAAGAGAAAGCCAUGUUGUGGCCUAACCUUGCAAAUCACAUGUGUCACUACACAGGUUGGCCCCACUCAGCCUGGGAGGGACUGUGAGGUGGAGAAGGUGAGGACCUGGGCUUUUGUGGGGCUCUGCUCAUAGAAAGAGUAUUCACCUUGCAGGACAGCCAAAAACAAUGACUAGGAUUAUUCUCUUGUCCUUUUUCUAACCUACUGAGUUGGAUGUUUAAUUCAAUUAUUUGCAUUGCUUCUUGUUUAUUAAUAUAAACGUUUAAGGCUAUGAAUUUUCCUCUGAGGAACAAUAGCUCCAAUAGUGUUUUUAUUAUUUCUGAAUAUGUCAAUUUGGAAUUUUAUUUCUUCUUUGAUCCAAGUUUUGCUUAAGAGAGCUUUAAAAUUUCCAAGCAAAGGGCCUUUAUAUUAGUUAUAUCUGGUUUUAUUGCAUUGUGAAUAGAGACUUUUUUCUGUAUUUUUUUAAACAAAAUAAAAUGUAUAUGGCUU
rnacentral:lncRNA from 1 species